rnacentral:tRNA from 1 species
UUAAAUUUAGUUUAUUAAAAUUUAUUAUUUACAUUAAUAAGAUUAUGAAAAUCAUGAAUUUAAA